UUUUAAUAUUAUUUCUGCUUGGAGAAUGAAUGUACCGCUGAAGUGGAAUCGUCAGGUACACUUUCUAAUUGUUUUUGUCUUGUUCGCGAUUCUGGUAUUGAAUUGUGUUGGGGUGGUCAUUUCAAAUAAAUAUAUCAUUUCCCGCUCCUCAAGUAUAGGCAACCAAUAUAACAUCUUUUCUCGUCAAAUUGUCAAGUCGCAAAAACUUGUUUUGAAUCCCAUCUGUGAAAUAUAGAUACAUCAAUUGGAAGUCAUUUUUUCCGUAUUUCUCGAGUGUAGAGCAUCUCAGCUAAUCCAAAUAAAGAUUUUCUGUCUUCGACCAUUUGAGUUGGAUUAUUUGGAAAAUUGCAGAUAAUAUCAUAAUUUUGCUGAUUAUUUUGGAUAUUUAUAUCACGUUUUGGAAUCAAGCAGAAUUUCCGUCUUGUACGGGAUAAAAAUUCUACAUACUCUGAUAGAAAUUUCUAUAAAAGCCGCCCUCCAUCUUAGGCUUUCAAUUCUUCUGAAUAUUUUACUGAUUCGAUAUAUAAGUGGAUCAACCUGAAUUAUUGGCGUGUUGGUUGAUGCAAAGACAUCCCUUGGACAUAGGCACCCCCAUUGCCUUAUACUGAGGGUUGGAAUAACUUCUAACCGGUUGGGAGCGAACCGAAUUCAACAUUUCCA